rnacentral:rRNA from 1 species
UACAGAGGGGGCAAGCGUUGUCCGGAAUUACUGGGCGUAAAGGGUGCGUAGGCGGCUUGUUAAGUUGAAUGUGAAAUCCCCGGGCUCAACCCGGGAACUGCGUCCGAUACUGGCAGGCUUGAAUCCGGGAGAGGGAUGCGGAAUUCCAGGUGUAGCGGUGAAAUGCGUAGAUAUCUGGAGGAACACCGGUGGCGAAGGCGGCAUCCUGGACCGACAUUGACGCUGAGGCGCGAAAGCCAGGGGAGCAAACGGG